rnacentral:rRNA from 1 species
AUGCACGCUGGCGGCGUGCCUCAUCCCUGCCAGUCGAGCGCACAGACGAGGAGCUUUCUCCUCUGACGUUAGCGGCGGACGGGUGAGUAACACGUGGAUAACCUACCUAUAAGACUGGGAUAACUUCGGGAAACCGGAGCUAAUACCGGAUAAUAUAUUGAACCGCAUGGUUCAAUAGUGAAAGACGGUUUUGCUGUCACUUAUAGAUGGAUCCGCGCCGCAUUAGCUAGUUGGUAAGGUAACGGCUUACCAAGGCAACGAUGCGUAGCCGACCUGAGAGGGUGAUCGGCCACACUGGAACUGAGACACGGUCCAGACUCCUACGGGAGGCAGCAGUAGGGAAUCUUCCGCAAUGGGCGAAAGCCUGACGGAGCAACGCCGCGUGAGUGAUGAAGGUCUUCGGAUCGUAAAACUCUGUUAUUAGGGAAGAACAAAUGUGUAAGUAACUAUGCACGUCUUGACGGUACCUAAUCAGAAAGCCACGGCUAACUACGUG